GUGCCAGCGGCCGCGGUAAUACGGAGGGUGCAAGCGUUAUCCGGAUUCAUUGGGUUUAAAGGGUGCGCAGGCGGAUACUUAAGUCAGUGGUGAAAUCCCGGGGCUCAACCCCGGAACUGCCAUUGAUACUGAAUAUCUGGAAUACGGUUGAAGUGGGCGGAAUGUAGCAUGUAGCGGUGAAAUGCAUAGAGAUGCUACAGAACACCGAUCGCGAAGGCAGCUCACUAAGCCGAUAUUGACGCUCAGGCACGAAAGCGUGGGGAGCGAACAGGAUUAGAUACCCUGGUAGUCCACGCCGUAAACGAUGAUAACUCGUUGUUGGCGACACACAGUCAGCGACUAAGCGAAAGCGAUAAGUUAUCCACCUGGGGAGUACGAUCGCAAGGUUGAAACUCAAAUGAAUUGACGG
rnacentral:rRNA from 1 species